rnacentral:rRNA from 1 species
AUUGGGUGUAAAGCGCGUGUAGGCGGUCUUUUAAGUCUGAUGUGAAAGCCCCGGGCUCAACCUGGGAAGUGCAUUGGAAACUGGGAGGCUUGAGUACGGGAGAGGAGAGUGGAAUUCCUAGUGUAGGAGUGAAAUCCGUAGAUAUUAGGAGGAACACCGGUGGCGAAGGCGGCUCUCUGGACCGAUACUGACGCUGAGACGCGAAAGCGUGGGUAGCAAACAGGAUUAGAUACCCCAGUA